UAGGAUGUGGUGUAUUUGGGUAGCACGAAGAUUUUUGAUUUCUUAGGGUUGGGUUCGACUCCCAUUGUCCUAG